AAGAAUUGGACGAAGAUGACACCCAUCCUGUUGUGGUCAGCUUCAUCUUGCUCUGCAGAGAAAUGUUGAGGAGAUUCAAAAAGGAUUUGGAAGAGCUCAAAGAAAGGAAACCUGUAGUAUGAUUUUCGCUAUUAUAUUUUUCUUUAUUUGGCAUGUAUUUGACUUGGGGCUUUUAGGCCUAUGUAUUACGUGCUUGAAUGAA
rnacentral:lncRNA from 1 species